CAUCCCUGGACCUGGGCCAGAGGCUUAGCUGCCUCUGCUGAGGCUGACGCAGCCUGCGUGAGGAACGUGGCCGACGAGCAGGACAGGACUGAGCCUGCGAGCAGGGUAGGAUGUCAGAGAACCAGAAACAGCCCACCUGGGAACAAAGUCAGCAUGGAGUAAACUGAUCUGGAAGAUACUAAGAGCUGGAGAGGCAGAGAUCUGAUAACAUCAGGUGCUGGAUCCAGCCAUUCCUGAAGCUAACUCUCUGGAUAUUACUGCUAUGUGAGCCCAUGAAUCUGGUUGGAGAGGAGCAUGAAAGGUUUACUGGAAGAGUUGACGUUUACCGUAGCCUUGCCGGAGGAUGACCCGGUCAGGAUGGACUGUGCUGGGCUGCAAUGACAACCCCCUUCUGGAUCCUAUUGAUGAGUGACAACUCCAGAGAAGGGAAUGUGGGAGGGCUUUCUAGAAGGAGAAGACAGCUUGGCCAAAGGUUCAGAGGUGCCGACGUGAGGGUCUGCUCGAGAGGAAGUGAUUUUCCCCAUUGCUCACAGCUGGACAUUACAUGUCAAGGAUGCUCUCAGAGGACUGGGAAAAGGUUCAGAGGUCCACAGAUAUGAUCCUUCUACUUGGGCUCCCGAAGCAAGCAGAAAGAUCCCUUCCCCUCCCCAUGAAGUCCAAGCAGGGCUGCAGAAAGAAGGGAGAGUUCAGGAAGAAGCACUUGCUUUUGCUCACUUGUUCAACCACUGUUUACUGGCUUUCUGUAUGAAUCGGGUACCUUGAAAGAUGCCAGGAGAGAUGGGAUGAGAUGAUGAUGGUCGUGAUCAUGAUGGCUAACAUUCUAUCAAGGACUUUGUACAUGCCAGGCACUGUUCUAGGAUGUUUCACAGGUCCUUAUGUGACUUCCCUGAUGGCUCAGAUGGUAAAGCAUCUGCCUACAAUGCAGGAGACCUGAGUUCGAUCCCUAGGUUAGGAAGAUCCCCUGAAGAAGGAAAUAGCAACCCACUCCAGUACUGUUGCCUUGAAAAUCCCAUGGAUGGAGGAACCUGGUAGGCUACAGUCCAUGGGGACAUAAAGAGUUGAACACGACUGAGCAACUUCACUUUCUUUCUUUCUUUCUUUUCUUUACGUGUAUUAACUGGUAUUUCUUAAAACGACCCUAGAAGAUAGCUCUGUUAUUAUGUACAACUUCCCAAUGAGGAGGCCGAGGCAGCAAAUUACAGAACGUGCCAGGGCCACAAAAGCUGGUGAGAUCAGAGAUGAGAUACAAAUGAUCUGCAGAGAUCAAAGUCCCAGCUUCCCAGGAGGAGGGGCGGGGGUGGGGUGAGGGAGACGGAGAGAGGAGGGGGAGGGGGGGGGAGAGGGAGAGGGGAGAGAAGAGGGAGGAGGGGAGGGGGGCGAGGAGGUGGUGUGUGGGUGCAA
rnacentral:lncRNA from 1 species